UAUAUGUCCUCAAAAUCUGAAAUAAAAGGAUAGAGAUACAAAGAGCUUAACAAGCCUAUUUGCCCUACUGUAAGAAAUAGAAUAUGAAACAUUUUGGGCCAAAAUGUAAACAGGAAUCUUAUUCAAAGAUUCCUGCUAAAUCAAUUAGGGCUACAGAUACUUUCAGAAGUUCAUGAAAAAUUUAAAAACAGCCUAGUAAUUUCCAGUAACAAUAUAUUAUUUGCUGAUCAUCUUUUCUUUCCGUUCUUUUAAAAGUUGUAAGCCACAGCAAGAAAGCAGCUAUCUGCAAAUCAGGAAGAGGGCUCUCACCAAACUUCAAGUCUAUCAGGACUUUCCAGUGGAAAAACUGAGGGGCUUCAUCUACGUCUUAAUUUCUUGACACCUCUACUUCCUAUUUAGCUUUCUUCUUUAGAGGCUAACAGUUGGACGAUUCCAUCUCAGAUGUAUUUCCUUCUCAGAAAGAAAACUAACUUGAAGUCUAACUGCAUACAAGACAGUUAAAAUUUAACCUAAAAUUUGUAUUUGAGUUCAACAAAUGGUCCUGGCACAACUUAACACACUUUUUACAAAAAUUAACUCGAAUUUGUCACAGACUUAAGAAAUACGAUGAGUAAGUUCUGAGGAUCCAGGGCGCAGCAUGGUGACCACAGUUACCAAUGUUGUAUCACCUGAAAGUUGCUAAGAGAGUAGAUCUUGAACG